CGAGGAGGAGGGUACUUUAGCUAAUACCUAGAGAUAGUGGACGUUACUCGCAGAAUAAGCACCGUCUAAAUCUGUGCCAGCAGCCGCGGUAAUACAGAGGGUGCAAGCGUUAAUCGGAUUUACUGGGCGUACAGCGCGCGUAGGCGGCUAAUUAAGUCAAAUGUGAAAUCCCCGAGCUUAACUUGGGAAUUGCAUUCGAUACUGGUUAGCUAGAGUGUGGGAGAGGAUGGUAGAAUUCCAGGUGUAGCGGUGAAAUGCGUAGAGAUCUGGAGGAAUACCGAUGGCGAAGGCAGCCAUCUGGCCUAACACUGACGCUGAGGUGCGAAAGCAUGGGGAGCAAACAGGAUUAGAUACCCUGGUAGUCCAUGCCGUAAACGAUGUCUACUAGCCGUUGGGGCCUUUGAGGCUUUAGUGGCGCAGCUAACGCGAUAAGUAGACCGCCUGGGGAGUACGGUCGCAAGACUAAAACUCAAAUGAAUUGACGGGGGCCCGCACAAGCGGUGGAGCAUGUGGUUUAAUUCGAUGCAACGCGAAGAACCUUACCUGGCCUUGACAUAGUAAGAACUUUCCAGAGAUGGAUUGGUGCCUUCGGGAACUUACAUACAGGUGCUGCAUGGCUGUCGUCAGCUCGUGUCGUGAGAUGUUGGGUUAAGUCCCGCAACGAGCGCAACCCUUUUCCUUAUUUGCCAGCGAGUAAUGUCGGGAACUUUAAGGAUACUGCCAGUGACAAACUGGAGGAAGGCGGGGACGACGUCAAGUCAUCAUGGCCCUUACGGCCAGGGCUACACACGUGCUACAAUGGUCGGUACAAAGGGUUGCUACCUAGCGAUAGGAUGCUAAUCUCAAAAAGCCGAUCGUAGUCCGGAUUGGAGUCUGCAACUCGACUCCAUGAAGUCGGAAUCGCUAGUAAUCGCGGAUCAGAAUGCCGCGGUGAAUACGUUCCCGGGCCUUGUACACACCGCCCGUCACACCAUGGGAGUUUGUUGCACCAGAAGUAGUUAGCCUAACUGCAAAGAGGGCGGU
rnacentral:rRNA from 1 species